GGGGAAAUAGCUCAGUUGGUUAGAGUGCUGGACUGUCACGCCAGAAGUCGCGGGUUCGAACACCGUUUUCCCCG
rnacentral:tRNA from 1 species